GAUGAACGCUGGCGGCGUGCCUAAUACAUGCAAGUCGAGCGAACAGACGAGGAGCUUGCUCCUCUGACGUUAGCGGCGGACGGGUGAGUAACACGUGGAUAACCUACCUAUAAGACUGGGAUAACUUCGGGAAACCGGAGCUAAUACCGGAUAAUAUAUUGAACCGCAUGGUUCAAUAGUGAAAGACGGUUUUGCUGUCACUUAUAGAUGGAUCCGCGCCGCAUUAGCUAGUUGGUAAGGUAACGGCUUACCAAGGCAACGAUGCGUAGCCGACCUGAGAGGGUGAUCGGCCACACUGGAACUGAGACACGGUCCAGACUCCUACGGGAGGCAGCAGUAGGGAAUCUUCCGCAAGGGGCGAAAGCCUGACGGAGCAACGCCGCGUGAGUGAUGAAGGUCUUCGGAUCUUAAAACUCUGUUAUUAGGGAAGAACAAAUGUGUAAGUAACUAUGCACGUCUUGACGGUACCUAAUCAGAAAGCCACGGCUAACUACGUG
rnacentral:rRNA from 1 species